rnacentral:rRNA from 1 species
CGUGUAGGCGGCGGAGCAAGUCAGAUGUGAAAGCCCCCGGCUUAACCGGGGAAUUGCAUUUGAAACUGUUUUGCUUGAGUGCGAGAGGGGGUAGUGGAAUUCCCAGUGUAGCGGUGAAAUGCGUAGAUAUUGGGAAGAACACCAGUAGCGAAGGCGGCUACCUGGCUCGCAACUGACGCUAAGGCGCGAAAGCGGUGGGGAGCAAACA